AACCUAAUUUCCCAAACUGGGAUUAGAUACCCCACUAUGCUUAGCCCUAAACUUAGAUAGUUAUCCUAAACAAAACUAUCCGCCAGAGAACUACCAGCAACAGCUUAGAACUCAAAGGACUUGGCGGUGCUUUACAUCCCUCUAGAGGAGCCUGUUCUAUAAUCGAUAAACCCCGAUAUACCUCA
rnacentral:rRNA from 1 species